AUUGAACGCUGGCGGCAGGCCUAACACAUGCAAGUCGAGCGGAUGAAGGGAGCUUGCUCCUGGAUUCAGCGGCGGACGGGUGAGUAAUGCCUAGGAAUCUGCCUUGUAGUGGGGGAUAACGUCCGGAAACGGGCGCUAAUACCGCAUACGUCCUGAGGGAGAAAGUGGGGGAUCUUCGGACCUCACGCUAUCAGAUGAGCCUAGGUCGGAUUAGCUAGUUGGUGGGGUAAAGGCCUACCAAGGCGACGAUCCGUAACUGGUCUGAGAGGAUGAUCAGUCACACUGGAACUGAGACACGGUCCAGACUCCUACGGGAGGCAGCAGUGGGGAAUAUUGGACAAUGGGCGAAAGCCUGAUCCAGCCAUGCCGCGUGUGUGAAGAAGGUCUUCGGAUUGUAAAGCACUGUAAGUUGGGAGGAAGGGCAGUAAGUUAAUACAUUGCUGUUUUGACGUUACCAACAGAAUAAGCACCGGCUAACUUCGUG
rnacentral:rRNA from 1 species